rnacentral:lncRNA from 1 species
UAAUGAUCAUCAGUAUACCACCGGUGGGCUUCUUAAAAGAAUUCAUUAAGUAUGAUGAUAUAAAUCUCAAAUGUCUCAUUACAGUACGCCGUAUCAUAUCUUUAAAGUAUAAUUUAUUAAUCAAAUUGAAGGAAUGUAUUCAUGUAUCAAGAGCAACAAGUGAGUAAAUUUUUCCAAGUGAGUAAAAUAACUUGAAUUUAGUGCAAGAGCAACGUGUUUAAUGUUUAAGAGACGCACUAAAGCUUUUGAGUGGGUAGUGUGUGCUGGUAUGACGAUGUCAUCAAAUUUAAUCACUGGUAGUAGUAGGAAUCGGUACCAUCGUCAUCAUCUACUUGGUUAUUAUCUACACCACUAUACCCGAGCACAAGGAGCAUUUAGAUUUAUACUUCUUGAGCUCAAGUUGUACUCGUUUCGUCUUUACUCGUGACUCGUUUUAUUUCAAGCACCACACGUACAUUUUGCUCGGGUGUAUGACCCCCGCCGAGGUCAUGCCGAGGGACUGGCGUAUCCCAAGGGUGACAAGAAUCAUUCACGCAGGGCUUUAUAACUUGCUAACCAUCAACAAUCGUGUCCUUCACAUAUGUAUUCCUACAAUUACAUUCGAGUUCAUGGUCAAUGCCGUAGAUUAAUAGAAACAUUAUUCUAUUAAUUCUUCUAGAAAUUCUACGAAAUAUUUUUGCAAUAAACACAUUACAUACAAUACAGGACGUUUGAUAAACAUUAAACAUUCUGCUGAACCAUAAAUAAAUGCAGAUGUAUCAAUACAUCAAUAAGUUGAGUUAGUCAAGCAUAUAUAUAUACGUAUACGUACAAUUCCAAGCCUACUCACGUCAUGAGAACAAAUAAUAAAAUAAUAUUGCAUGCAACCAAGUGAAAGUUAGUCCAUGGAUUUGAAAAUAUAACGCGGCUGAAUGAGAACGAGAGUCAGAGGUAAGCUGGUGGAUAAAAAAAAAAAGCUACCACGAAGACCAUGAACUUGAAGCAUAAAGCUGAUCAUAGUACACACGCUACACCGGAAAAAGGAGUAUAUGGGACUAAAAUGAUACGGGAUACUAUAUAUAUAUAUAGUAGAGUCAUACAUAUAUGUAUGUAUUAG